CCUACGGGUGGCUGCAGUCGAGAAUCAUUCACAAUGGGGGAAACCCUGAUGGUGCGACGCCGCGUGGGGGAAUGAAGGUCUUCGGAUUGUAAACCCCUGUCAUGUGGGAGCAAAUUAAAAAGAUAGUACCACAAGAGGAAGAGACGGCUAACUCUGUGCCAGCAGCCGCGGUAAUACAGAGGUCUCAAGCGUUGUUCGGAAUCACUGGGCGUAAAGCGUGCGUAGGCUGUUUCGUAAGUCGUGUGUGAAAGGCGCGGGCUCAACCCGCGGACGGAACAUGAUACUGCGAGACUAGAGUAAGGGAGGGGGAACCGCAAUUCUCGGUGUAGCAGUGAAAUGCGUAGAUAUCGAGAGGAACACUCGUGGCGAAGGCGGGUUCCUGGACAUUAACUGACGCUGAGGCACGAAGGCCAGGGGAGCGAAAGGGAUUAGAUACCCGGGUAGUC
rnacentral:rRNA from 1 species